GACGGACCACACAAACGUUAUUCGGAAUUACUGGGCUUAAAGGGUGCGUAGGCCGUGCAGAAAGUUGGGUGUGAAAUCCCCCGGCUCAACCGGGGAACUGCGCCCAAAACUACUGUGCUCGAGGGAGACAGGGGUGAGUGGAACUUAGGGUGGAGCGGUGAAAUGCGUUGAUAUCCUAAGGAACGCCGGUGGCGAAAGCGACUCACUGGGUCUCUUCUGACGCUGAGGCACGAAAGCUAGGGGAGCGAACGGG
rnacentral:rRNA from 1 species